UACAGGGGGGGCAAGCGUUGUUCGGAAUUACUGGGCGUAAAGGGUUCGUAGGUGGCCACCUAAGUCAGACGUGAAAUCCCUCAGCUUAACUGGGGAACUGCGUCUGAUACUGGAUGGCUUGAGUCCGGAAGAGGAGAGUGGAAUUCCUGGUGUAGCGGUGAAAUGCGCAGAUAUCAGGAAGAACACCCGUGGCGAAGGCGGCUCUCUGGGACGGUACUGACGCUGAGACGCGAAAGCGUGGGGAGCGAACAGG
rnacentral:rRNA from 1 species